UGGGAACGUACCCUUUGGUUCGGAACAACCCAGGGAAACUUGGGCUAAUACCGGAUAAGUCCGUAAGGAGAAAGAUUUAUCGCCAAAGGAUCGGCCCGCGUCUGAUUAGCUAGUUGGUAGGGUAAUGGCCUACCAAGGCUACGAUCAGUAGCUGGUCUGAGAGGAUGAUCAGCCACAUUGGGACUGAGACACGGCCCAAACUCCUACGGGAGGCAG
rnacentral:rRNA from 1 species